rnacentral:rRNA from 1 species
UAGGGAAUCUUCGGCAAUGGACGAAAGUCUGACCGACCAACGCCGCGUGAGUGAAGAAGGAUUUCGGAUCGUAAAACUCGGUUGUUAGAGAAGAACAAGGACGUUAGUAACUGAACGUCCCCUGACGGUAUCUAACCAGAAAGCCACGGCUAACUACGUGCCAGCAGCCGCGGUAAUACGUAGGUGGCAAGCGUUGUCCGGAUUUAUUGGGCGUAAAGCGAGCGCAGGCGGUUUCUUAAGUCUGAUGUGAAAGCCCCCGGCUCAACCGGGGAGGGUCAUUGGAAACUGGGAGACUUGAGUGCAGAAGAGGGGAGUGGAAAUCCAUGUGUAGCGGUGAAAUGCGUAGAUAUAUGGAGGAACACCAGUGGCGAAGGCGGCUCUCUGGUCUGUAACUGACGCUGAGGCUCGAAAGCGUGGGGAGCAAACAGG